rnacentral:lncRNA from 1 species
CAUACUGUUUUACGAUUGGCGGUAUGCCUAGAUCGUCCAGCUUACAAAAAUGUGAGAACCCAACGGUUCUACAAGAAAAAAAAAAAAGGGUUAAUUGAUGUACUUUGCAAUAUAAUGAAUGAUCUAAGGUAUAUACUUGAGAUCAAAGAAUGUUAAAAUGUUCAUCCUCAACUUAAUAUUGGCAAUUAUGGCUCUCUAAUAAUACACCAAGGGGGUUCUCUGAUUGAGAAUCAGAUUGGAUCUUUUAGGUCGAUAAUUUGUAAUUAUCGAGCAUGUUGGAUCUCUUUCAAUAUUACGAGCGCUUCAGCCAUCAAUGGAUUGUACGCUUUGCAUGGGAAGCUAACCAUGAUAAUGAUGGAUUUGGGAGGUGAGAGUAAGCAAAACCCAAUACCUGCAAUAAGUUCAGGAGAAGAGAACGAGUCGUCACGUUGCAUAAUAUAGUCAAAAGCACCACUUCCUAAGUUUGGAUCCAGAGAAUUGAAAUUACUAAUGCCCUUAGGACAUGGACAUGGAUUAGAAGCAAGAGCCCUCUGGACUAAAAUAGAUGGACUGACACGGCGACUGUGGAAUCUGAUCUCAUUCCUAUUAAGUCAUAAACACCAAAAGGCAUUAACAAUAAGACUUAGAAUCAGUUUGGAAGAAGAACUAUCAAAAUUUUCCUCCUCCCAAAGCCUCUACCCAGGAGUAAAAAAAAAAACAUUAAGCUAAGACCAGUUUUAGCUUGCAAUAGGUUCCAAAAAGAGAGGGUAGCAGGACAUUCAAGGAAUAUAUAUCUAGAGGAAUCUUCAUGACCAUAACGUCCAUUUCAAGACAACUUUCAAAGGAAUAACUAGAUUUUUGGGGAGAUGAGAAGAUGAAAUUUCGCCUUCCAACCGUGCCAAGACUCAUUAUCUUUAGAUUUAGUUUGAAGAUAUUGAGAGGCGAGGCAUCAAUAGCAGUCAAAGUACCCAAUCAAUUGGGCUGCAAUAUCUAGAUAUCAUCAUCGGGCUCUCUAGGAAUAUAAAAUUUUUGGAUCCUUUCAAUGAGUUAUGAAAGAGUAGCUGUAAUUUGACUACAUCCCAACAGUUAAAGGACAGAAGAUCUGAAACCAGGCUAAAAUUGCACAUUUUCUCUACAUUAACAAAAGCAGGUCAGAAAUUUAUAGGAAGAUUGUCAAUUCAAGGAUCACUAUAGAUGUUAGUACUUGACCAAUUUCCAAUCAGUUUUCUAAAUCUCCUCUGAUGUCACUAACUAAGAGAUUGAUAUUUCUAUGGAACCAAGAGAAGUUUUUUUUUGGCAGAAUGGAGGUUCCAAGGGUGAAGAUCACCAUAUUUAGCCUUAAUGACACAUACCCAUAGAGAAUCAGAAUUGUUAAAAGUGGUAGAAUCCUUCUAACACAAAUUGAUAGCUUGAUAAUUUUGUGAUUAGAAAGACCUCAAUCAUCAUAAACUUUGGGUUUGAAAAUGAUGUACCAACUGAAGUUUUAUACGGUAGGAAGAAGGGUGGGAGUUCCAAAUAAGUUUCAUGCUAAAUAGAGUUGAGAAUUGUUUAAUCGGUCUCAUUUUUUUGGUUAAAAAAAAAUGAAGAGAGAUGCCCUAAAGAAGGUACCUCAUAGAAUGCUUGAUGGAAGGGGUGGAAUGCUUUGAGAAGUAUAGUUUGGAUUUUUGGAGGUUAAAGUAUAAAAAAUGUUAAGUGCCUUGAGGACGUUGGUGUAGGAUUUUUUAUUAGCACGAAAGGCUAGAAGUAGAUCGUUGGUAAACAUUAGAUGAGAAAUGUUUACCCCUUUAAAGUUGAAAGGAGUGAUAUGCAUUCAGUCAACCAUCAGGGGGUCUUCUUACCUAAUACCUUAGCUUUGAAACUAUUAGAACAUGCACCAUUCGUUAGACAAGAGAAGAUCAAAGAAAAUGUGCAUGAAUGGGUCCAAUCGAUGUCAAUAUGCUUAGCAAGAAAAUUCAUAGCUAGAAG